rnacentral:rRNA from 1 species
CCUACGUGGGGCAGCAGUGAGGAAUAUUGGUCAAUGGACGAGAGUCUGAACCAGCCAAGUAGCGUGAAGGAUGACUGCCCUAUGGGUUGUAAACUUCUUUUAUAUGGGAAUAAAAUGUUCCACGUGUGGGAUUUUGUAUGUACCAUAUGAAUAAGGAUCGGCUAACUCCGUGCCAGCAGCGGCGGUAAUAUGGAGGAUCCGAGCGUUAUCCGGAUUUAUUGGGUUUAAAGGGAGCGUAGGUGGAUUGUUAAGUCAGAUGUGAAAGUUUGUGGCUCAACCGUAAAAUUGCAGUUGAAACUGGCAGGCUUGAGUACAGUAGAGGUGGGCAGAAUUCGUGGUGUAGCGGUGAAAUGCUUAGAUAUCAGGAAGAACACCGAUGGCGAAGGCAGUUCACUGGACUGAAACUGACACUGAGGCGCGAAAGUGUGGGGAGCAAACAGGAUUAGAUACCCGGGUAGUC